GUUCUCUAAGAGGCCCGCUAUCGGAAUGGGUACAAUUUAAACCCUUUAACGAGGACCUAUGAGAGGGCAAGUCUGGUGCCAGCAGCCGCGGUAAUUCCAGCUCUCAAGGUGUAUAUCGCCAUUGCUGCGGUUAAAAAGCUCGUAGUUGGAUCUGCGCCUUCGGACUCGGUCCUCCCAACGGGUGCGAACUGAGCUCCAAGGCUACUACUGCUGGUUUUCCCUUGAUGCUCUUCACUGGGUGUCUUGGGUGGCUAGCGAGUUUACUUUGAAAAAAUUAGAGUGCUCAAAACAGGCUAUUGCCUGAAUACCGGUGCAUGGAAUAAUAGAAUAGGAUCUCGGUCCUAUUUUGUUGGUUUUCGGAACUGAGAUAAUGGUUAAGAGGGACAGACGGGGGCAUUCGUAUCGCUGCGUGAGAGGUGAAAUUCUUGGACCGCAGCGAGACGCCCAACUGCGAAAGCAUUUGCCAAGAAUGUCUUCGUUAAUCAAGAACGAAAGUCAGAGGUUCGAAGGCGAUCAGAUACCGCCCUAGUUCUGGCCGUAAACGAUGCCAACUAGCGAUCCGCCGGUGGUAAUUACGCCCCGGCGGGGAGCUUCCCGGAAACGAAAGUCUUCCGGUUCCGGGGGAAGUAUGGUUGCAAAGCUGAAACUUAAAGGAAUUGACGGAAGGGCACCACCAGGAGUGGAGCUUGCGGCUUAAUUUGACACAACACGGGAAAACUCACCCGGCCCGGACACCGUAAGGAUUGACAGAUUGAGAGCUCUUUCUUGAUUCGGUGGUUGGUGGUGCAUGGCCGUUCUUAGUUGGUGGAGCGAUUUGUCUGGUUUAUUCCGAUAACGAACGAGACUCUGGCCUACUAACUAGUGACAGAAUUAUUGCUGUUCUGGUUACUUCUUAGAGGGACAAGUGGUGUUCAGCCACACGAAAUUGAGCAAUAACAGGUCUGUGAUGCCCUUAGAUGUCCGGGGCUGCACGCGUGCUACACUGGAGGAAACAGCAUGCAAAACCAUUGCCGAGAGGCAUUGGUAAACCCAAGAAAAUCUUCCGUGAUCGGGAUCGGGAAUUGCAAUUAUUUCCCUUGAACGAGGAAUUCCCAGUAAGUGUGGGUCAUCAGCUCGCGCUGAUUACGUCCCUGCCCUUUGUACACACCGCCCGUCGCUGCCCGGGACUGAGCCGUUUCGAGAAAAGCGGGGACUGCUGCUGUCGGGGCUUUCGGGCCUUGGCUUCGGUGGAAACCGCUU
rnacentral:rRNA from 1 species